UACGUAUGGAGCAAGCGUUAUCCGGAUUUACUGGGUGUAAAGGGUGCGUAGGUGGCAGUACAAGUCAGAUGUGAAAGGCCGGGGCUCAACCCCGGAGCUGCAUUUGAAACUGCGCGGCUAGAGUACAGGAGAGGCAGGCGGAAUUCCUAGUGUAGCGGUGAAAUGCGUAGAUAUUAGGAGGAACACCAGUGGCGAAGGCGGCCUGCUGGACUGUUACUGACACUGAGGCACGAAAGCGUGGGGAGCAAACAGG
rnacentral:rRNA from 1 species